AAUUACAACCAGUAGGGGGCAGUGUCUGCCCACUACACCUCCUCAUGUUUCCUCAGAUCAGUGGACCACAGCCUGUAGAGACACUCCUCCCUGCAUGUCUUCAUCUCUAACUGCAUCCAGACAUAAUGGACACGUUCAGUUUCCAACAUGUCUUCUAGCAGACGUGGUCUCCUCAGCUUGUUGCUGUUUGUUCUCUGGAUCAAAGGUGGAACUGAUGGUAGUGAUGUCAGCCAGACCUCCAUGCUGUGGACCAAGAAGGGUCAAGAUGCAACCAUGAACUGCAGCCACACAAAGGAUGCUACAUUUUAUCAGAUGUACUGGUACAGACAGCUGCCUGGAGAAACCAUGGAGCUGGUCGUCUUCACGUCUACAGCUCAAAGAGGAGGAGAGCACGACUUUGGAGCUUUCAGCAAAGAGAAGUUCUCAGCCACCAAGACAGAAGCUGAGAGAGGAACGUUCACAGUGAAGAAGGUGCAGCCUGAAGAUAAAGGCUUGUAUUUCUGUGCUGUGAGUCAACACAGUGAUACAAACCCAUGAGAGAGCUGAACAAAAACCUCUCAGCUGAUCCCAUCAAUGCUGUCCUCUAGAGGGCGCUACAGAGUAAGAUCAGUAGGUGAUGCAUAAGUAUUUCCAGCUGGUGUCUCCUCCCCUCUGAGCUGAUCUCCUGUCAUGUUCAUGCCGUCAGUCCACACUGAGACACAGAGGAAGAUCCAGACAUGAUGAUGAGAAACGUCUGCAGGAUCUCUCUGCUGCU